AGCAGCACACCACUUUUGAAGGGGCAAAAAUAGCACUUUUGCGGUGGCAAAUUUGCACCUCCAAAUUUUGUUCUAUGAGUGUUCUUUGGCAAGAGUUUGGGUAUUGCAUGGGGCGAACAUUGGGUAAACAGGCGGUGGAAGAAGGAAAAAAUAGAAGCCACACAAUGUGCGGAGAAGGUGUCUCGCCAGUGAUGUCUUCUAUAUGUGGUGGCCCAGAGCUAUGAGAAUGAUGGGACAAUAUUGCAAAAUUCAUACCGAACGUGCCGUGAGAAAAGCCCGGAAGAGAAAAGCCGUGAGAAUUGGACAUGAUUUUAUUGCUGAAACUCAACUCUUUGUGGGGAAAGUAUAUCCGCUACAUAAUAUAGAUGCGCAACACCCCCGCGCUCAUCGAAAGCUUAGUUAUGGGAUUAGGGUAUGCGAGAAAAACCAUGAAGAUGUGGUCCAAAGCAUGGUAGCGAGCAUAUUUGCAACAUAGGCACGUACUUUACAGGAACACACA